GAUGAACGCUGGUGGCGUGCCUAAUACAUGCAAGUCGAGCGAACAGACGAGGAGCUUGCUCCUCUGACGUUAGCGGCGGACGGGUGAGUAACACGUGGAUACCUACCUAUAAGACUGGGAUAACUUCGGGAAACCGGAGCUAAUACCGGAUAAUAUAUUGAACCGCAUGGUUCAAUAGUGAAAGACGGUUUUGCUGUCACUUAUAGAUGGAUCCGCGCCGCAUUAGCUAGUUGGUAAGGUAACGGCUUACCAAGGCAACGAUGCGUAGCCGACCUGAGAGGGUGAUCGGCCACACUGGAACUGAGACACGGUCCAGACUCCUACGGGAGGCAGCAGUAGGGAAUCUUCCGCAAUGGGCGAAAGCCUGACGGAGCAACGCCGCGUGAGUGAUGAAGGUCUUCGGAUCGUAAAACUCUGUUAUUAGGGAAGAACAAAUGUGUAAGUAACUAUGCACGUCUUGACGGUACCUAAUCAGAAAGCCACGGCUAACUACGUG
rnacentral:rRNA from 1 species